rnacentral:lncRNA from 1 species
CCGCUUGCCUCGCCCAGCGCAGCCCCGGCCGCUGGGCGCACCCGUCCCGUUCGUCCCCGGACGUUGCUCUCUACCCCGGGAACGUCGAGACUGGAGCGCCCGAACUGAGCCACCUUCGCGGACCCCGAGAGCGGCGGCGCGACUCACCGCGGAGGCGCCCGGACGCGUCAAGCCCAGCCCAAUAGGAAGCACCUGAUCCACACUCUUUCUAGCCCCAGGGAUGCUCAGGAAAGCAGCCUUUCUUUAGGGCUGUCAUCUGUUCUGGGGAUCUGUUGCUGUUUCUUGGGCCCACAGAAUACACUCCACACCUCGGGACUCCAUAAUAUUGGACAAGGCUGGAAGGCCCAUUUGGCUCCUGCAGCCUCUUAUGCAGGAGGACCUCCUGAGGCUUCGGGCAGGAGCUGGUGCACACCUGGAGGAGAGUGCUGGUGAAUGGCAGGUGUGUGCCUCAGUGUCCUUGCUGCCAGGGUGUCAGCCCUGCUUCACCACUGGCCGUUUGUCUCUGUCCCCUCCACUGGCCUCUUGAAGCACAGAGACCCUCCGGGUACUUUCCUUCCUCUGGGCUUCCACUCAUGCUAUUCCCUGCUCCCUUUUUCUACCUGGAGACCCCCAUUCCUCCUCCUCCUCUGCUGCCCUCACCUCCACCUGGGCCCUCCCAGCUCCCGGGAGAUGGCUGAACCCCACUCCCCACCCGCUAGUCAUCCUCUUCAGCGGUCCUCCCAGAGCUGUCCUCAGCAUGGCAGCCUCCACAGCCCCUGGGUGUCACCCCCGGUUUCGUGUCUGCCUCGGACUCCAGACCUGCCCCUCCCAGGCUGGCCCAGAUGGAUCCUCUACAGUGACUAACCCAAACCAGCACCAGGCAGGGACCCAAUAAACCUUUGUGAAUGGAGUAAAAAAAAAAAAAAAAAAAAAAAAAAAAAAA